ensembl:lncRNA
GGCUCUCACUGCCUGUGUUUGAAAAGAACAUGUAAAUCAACCACACUUUAAUAAAAAGCAAAAAAAAAAAAAAAAAGAGAGAGAGAGAGAGAGAUUGCAAAAGAAAGAAGGAGAAGAGAGGGAAGGAGUAGAAAGGAGGGAAGGAAGGAAGGAGAGGGAAGGAAGGGAAAGAACGAAAGGAAGGAUGUGGGGAAAGCGGUGAAGGAAGGAAAACAGAAAGCCAAGUAAUUAGGACCGGGGAAAGCGCAAGGAGUUGCCCAAUUGAGUUAGUGGAAAUUAUUGCAAAUACAGCAGUUUAGUAUCGGGCGCCGCCGGGCACGGUAGGUGUAGCAGGUGGAGGGGUAGGAGCCCAAACCCAGGAACGACCUGCCUGGCCCCUGGCGCUACUCACGCGUCUCUGCCGUCCUCCGAGUCGCCGUCCGAGGUCCACUCCUCGCCGAUGUCUGGCAGCAGCUUCUCCAGAUUCGCAGAACUCUGGACUGAUGGUGAGGAAUUUGAACAUAGACCUGGGAACCAUAACCCUGAUUCCAAAAGAUCUGAAACUUACCCAGUCUGACAAGACCAAAUGAACCAGUUCUCUAAUAGGAAGAAAGAGAAACUUAUUCAAAUCUUUCUAGAGUAUGGGCUUUCUGUAUUUAAGCUGCUAAUCACCUGAUUGUUCUGAACAUAUGUAAUAUAACUUGAAGUGACAGGCAGCAAAAAAGGGCCAUUGCCAAGUGAGGCUUAAUUCAAUUCACCCAGUUCCUUGGGAGAAGCACUUGUCUGCUGCCACGUUUCAGGGUUCCUGAUUUUUAAAGACCCAGGACCUUCAUAGCUGACCAGCCUCUUAAGAUGGAGCCCAGCUAACUUGACUUGUAAAAUACUGAUACAUAAGUCUCAACUCAAAUGUGUUAGCUGAUAACUGUACAACUGCAGUGUUGUCCUUUGCUCUUUCUGUAUGAGAAGAAUUCUUGCUGAGAUCAAAUUAAGUUGGAAGAUUGUUUGAGCGUAGAAUCAAAGCAAAGGGAGUGAAUCAUAUGUACAAUACAAAUUUAUGUGUAGGGAACAGUAACCAUAAGAACAAAUCACUCCUGGUAGAGCAACCCCACAUAAACCUGAGGGAUUCACUCACAUGUCUUUAGCUCUCCGACUUUAGAUAUUUCUAUGCUGGAGUUCCUGUCAUGGCUCGGAUGUUAACAAACCCAACUAGGAUCCAUGAGGAUGCAGGUUCGAUCCCUGGCCUUGAUCAGUGGGUUAAGGAUCUGGCAUUGCCGUGAGCUGUAGUGUAGGUUGCAGAUGUGGCUCAGAUCCUGCGUUGCUGUGGCUGUGCUGUAGGCCAGUCACUAUUGCUCCAAUUUGACCCCUAGCCUGGAACCUCCAAAUGCCGCAGGUGAGCCCCUAAAAAAGCAAAAAAAAAAAAAUUUUUUUUUCUAUGCCUUUCUUACUAACCACUUCCCUACUAUGCACAGGCUUUUCCCUGAGGAUGUAGAUACUCUUAAUAAGGCUACAGAAAAGCUCAUGCUCUUCCAAAUCUCAGCUGUGAAAUUAGUCUAUCUCUGAGGUGUGUUAUCUUAUCUGUUAUGGGUUGAAUUGUGUUUCCCAUAAAGAUAUGAUGAAGUCCUCAAAACAAAACAAACAACAAAAGGAGUUCCCAUGUGGCUCAGCAGGUUAAGGAUCCAGCAUUAACACUAUUGUGGCUCAGGUCGCUGCUGUGUGUCUUUGAUUCCUAGCCCAGGAAUUUCCAAAUGCUGCAGGCACAGCCAAAACAAACAAAACAAACAGGAUAUGAUGAAGUCUGAACUCCAGAGUGUGUGAAUGUGCCUUAUUUGGAAAUCGGGUCUUUAUAGAGAAGACCAACGCAAAACAAGGUCAUUAGCAUGGGCCUAAUCCAAUACUCUCAAGAAGAGAGAAAGGAACGCAAACACAAAGGGACACCAUAUAAUGACAGAAGCAGAUACUGGAGUGAUGUGCUGGUAGCCAAGGGAUGUCAGUGAGUGAAGGCCACCACCGGAGGUCAGGAGGGGCCAAGGAAGAGCCUUCCCUGUGGGCUUCAGAGGGAGCACAGCCUUGCUGGCAUCUGAUAGCAGAAUUCUAGUAUCCGGAAUGAUGACAGAAUACAUUUCUAUUGUUUUAAGCCACUCAAUUUGUGACACUUUGUUUUAGCAGCCCUAGGAAUACACUGUUGGGGUAGUAAUUAAUUAUUGGGGUGCUUCAUAAUAAUAGAAUCUUUCUGGUAUCUCUGUGAAAGUCUUCAAUGGGUGUAUUUGCUCUAAAAAGCUGGCUAAGGGUUCCUGUUUUAGCUCUGUGGUAACAAAACUAAUUAGUAUCCAGGAGGACGAGGAUUCCAUCCCUGGCUCCACUCAGCAGAUAAUGGAUCCCGUGGUGCAGUGAGCUGCAGUGUAGGUCAAAAUAGAGGCUUGAAGCUGGCAUUGCUGUGGCUGUGGCAUAGGCUGGCAGCUGCAGCUCUGACUGGACCCAGGAACUUCCAUAUGCCACAGGUGCAGCCCUGAAAAGCAAAAUAAAAAAUAAAAAUAAAUAAAAAUAAAAAUAAGC